rnacentral:lncRNA from 1 species
UAUAUAUAUAUAUAUAUUGUGAUCUCUACAACUAAUUCCUAAUUUCUAAUUCCUAGAUCAUAAGCACAAAAUCGGAAGGAUAUGUCCGUAAGAAAUUAAAUUAAAGAGUUGGCUGGUUGGGUCAUUGCAAUGAUGCGGAGGACACGCAUGGGCGGUGCCCGUACCUGCAAGAGAGACGUACCGUUACCCCAUCCUAUUAAUGCUUACAUUUCAACCCGUAAGAUUCCAUUUUUGCUGUCUCAACAAGUAAUGCAUACAUUUAAAUUACUUUUUUUUCCCCCUUUUUAUAAACAUCCACUUACCACCUAAUGUUAUAGGCUUUAUUGAAAAUAUAUCUUCUUUUUUUUCUUUUUUUUUUGGCUUUUGCAGCUUUCCACUUAAAGUUUGCAAAGUGGAUCAUUUUUUUCAUUUUAUAUUAAUACUAUUAGAUGAUUUAACAAAAUAUUGACAAAAUAACUAUUUUGCUCAGGAUUGUAAAAAUAUUAUUUAUUAGUUUUUAUUUCAGAUACUUUCAUAAUGUAUUGCUAUUUUGGAUUAAUGACCCAAAUUAUAAACUUUAAGUUCUUCAUAACUGAUUUUAUGUUGUUACUUUUUUGUGAUAGGAACAAACUAUAAUAUACCAAGUUUUUCAUUAUUGGUUAUAUGGUUGUUUUGAAUGUAUUUUGGAUAAUUAUGAUUGCUUCCGUUGGUGAUUUAUUAUUGUUGAAGAUUUGUUAUUGUUGUUGAAAAUAUAUUAUUCAGGAUGAAUUAUAUGAGUAGGGAUUCUUAGUUUAUAUUGCAAAUAUGUUAUAAAUAAGUUAGGGUGUUUAUUUUGAUGAUUCUAUAUUAAAUUAGCAGGUUUGAUGAGUUUAUAUGACUAAUUUUGUAAUUUAUUAUUGGUUCCCACAGCUCUACAAUUAAAUGAUUUUUUUACAUUCAAGAGUAAAAAAUUAUUUUUUUAAUAUUUUGUUAAAUCAUCUUAUAUUGUUAAUGAAAAAGCAACAAAAUAAUAUACUUUAUAAACUUUAGCUGAAUAACUAUUAAAAAAAAUUCUCAUAUUUUUUAUGAAAUGCAAAACUUAUUGAUGGAUAUUUUUGACAUUUCCUUUUUGGGGACAGGAUAUUUAUGUUUUUAAGGCCGAGACAGGUAUGCGCGACCAAUUCGAAUACUAGUGAACUCGUUUGAUUUGAUGUGAUCUGAAGUGACAACAGCAGCUUCCUCCAUUGGAGAUUUGGAGGUCGUCGAUGCCAUUAUAUGAUUUUUUCUCAAAGUCAUAUAAGAUGUUUAUUGUACUAAAAAAUAAUAAUAACAUUAUAAACAAUUAUGUCCAUAUCCUACCAAUUUACAUUUGUUUUAUUUAACGUGGAUAUUUUUUUUAACAUGGGUCUACUAAGAUUAGUGUCAUUUUUAAAAAAAUUUUAAGCUA